rnacentral:sRNA from 12 species
CGACGCCAGUACCGCCGGCGAUUGAAAGAGCGGACGAAUGAGUAACAAAGGGUAAGGUUAAAUCGCUAGACUUAGAUUCUAGUAACGGCGCAAGUCGUGGGAUUACAUAGGUACAUCGGUAACGAUGUAAUUAGUAGGGCAAAUUGGAUUUAGACGCUAAAUAAUAUGUACGGUAGUAGAAUACCGGCUAUAAAUA